rnacentral:rRNA from 1 species
UGGGGGAUAUUGCACAAUGGGCGAAAGCCUGAUGCAGCGACGCCGCGUGGGGGAUGAAGGCCUUCGGGUUGUAAACUUCUUUUGCUCUGAACAAGGCGCUCCAUGGGGUGUGUUGAGUGUAGGGGUUGAUUAGCGCCGGCUAACUACGUGCCAGCAGCCGCGGUAAUACGUAGGGCGCGAGCGUUGUCCGGAAUUAUUGGGCGUAAAGGGCUUGUAGGUGGCUGGUUGCGUCUGUCGUGAAAGCUCAUGGCUUAACUGUGGGUUUGCGGUGGGUACGGGCUGGCGUGAGUGCAGUAGGGGAGGCUGGAAUUCCUGGUGUAGCGGUGGAAUGCGCAGAUAUCAGGAGGAAUACCGGUGGCGAAGGCGGGGCUCUGGGCUGUUACUGACACUGAGGAGCGAAAGCAUGGGGAGCGAACAGG